CUGUUUUUCUCAACAGGCAACUUGGAUGAGAAGGUCCCUGGGAGAGUCUUGUAUGAGAUUCUUAUUCAGGUCGGCCAUGUAGUAGACCUACACAUACCAUGUGACAAGGAAACUGGGCGUCCCAAAGGUUUUGCUUUUGCUGAAUAUGACACAGAGGCAAUUGCUCAGUAUGUUGUUAGACUUUUUUCCAGGACUUGUUAGGCUUAAUGGUAAAACACUUAAAUUUGCGUCUAUUGCGUGAAUUCUUUUACUUCCUUGUUGCACUAUGAGGGCGAUGGCUAUGAGCACCGAUCAGAAGCAGCAGAGUCGUCCGGCAUCCAUUUAUCCAAAGUUCCAUACAAGGGUCUAAGUUUCUUAACUGUCCAGUGUUUUUGCAUGUGAUUAUUUUACUCGGUACAGUCUUAUGGGCCACCAUUGUGAAUAAUGGUGACCUACAAAGUCAGAACAUGCGAUUGACUAGUGAUGACCUGAGACUUGAUGGUCUAACAUUUGUGCCAUUAACAUGUAACCAGGUUCAGUUACAUGUUGAUUCUUUUUUCUUUUGACAAAAGAAAAGUUAAUUGCUGAUUCACGUUGUUGUUCUACAUAAUUUUAAUGUUAACUUUUGACACAUCAAGAGUUGCUAAACACAUUCUUUUGCUCUGUUAGAGAGAAGAUAAUGACAGUGCCGAGGAAGAAAACUCAGCGCAAUCUCCGAAGAUUGGAGAAAGCUGAAAAGGCUGCUCAACUAGAUAAGAGUAUUGAAAGUGAACUAAAGGAGCGCCUGAGGAAGGGUGUCUAUGGUGAAAUUUAUAAUUUCCCCUUCAAGCAGUUUGAUACUAUCCUUGACAUGGAAAAAAUAUGAGUUGGCUCCUGAGAUAGAAGAGGAAGAAGUAAGACAGUACCGACUCUGAGAAUCAAGCUAAUUUUGUUAUGUUCUCACUGCUCACAAUCUUUCCCAUAUAUUGUGGAUUCACUUGCCAAUACAGGAAGGCGAGAUAGAGUAUGUUGAAGGUGGUGAUAUCGAGAUGGG